GAUGAACGCUGACAGAAUGCUUAACACAUGCAAGUCAACUUGAAUUUGGGCUUUUAACUUAGGUUUGGGUGGCGGACGGGUGAGUAACGCGUAAAGAACUUGCCUCGCAGCUAGGGACAACAUUUGGAAACGAAUGCUAAUACCUAAUAUUAUGAUAAUAGGGCAUCCUAUAAUUAUGAAAGCUAUAAGCGCUGUGAGAGAGCUUUGCGUCCCAUUAGCUAGUUGGAGAGGUAACGGCUCACCAAGGCGAUGAUGGGUAGCCGGCCUGAGAGGGUGAUCGGCCACAAGGGGACUGAGACACGGCCCUUACUCCUACGGGAGGCAACAGUGGGGAAUAUUGGACAAUGGACCGAGAGUCUGAUCCAGCAAUUCUGUGUGCACGAUGAAGUUUUUCGGAAUGUAAAGUGCUUUCAGUUGGGAAGAAACAAAUGACGGUACCAACAGAAGAAGUGACGGCUAAAUACGUG
rnacentral:rRNA from 1 species